rnacentral:rRNA from 1 species
UACGUAGGGGGCGAGCGUUGUCCGGAAUUAUUGGGCGUAAAGAGCGUGUAGGCGGUUCGGUAAGUCUGCCGUGAAAACCUGGGGCUCAACCCCGGGCGUGCGGUGGAUACUGCCGGGCUAGAGGGUGGUAGAGGCGAGUGGAAUUCCCGGUGUAGCGGUGAAAUGCGCAGAUAUCGGGAGGAACACCAGUAGCGAAGGCAGCUCGCUGGGACGGUACUGACGCUGAGACGCGAAAGCGUGGGGAGCAAACGGG